rnacentral:pre_miRNA from 1 species
UUAACUCGAAUUUGUAUGAAUUAGAACGUUUGCCUACGUUUACCGCUAGGGGCGCUGUUUCAAUUGCAUACGGAUUUGAGUUU